UACGGAGGGGUCUAGCGUUGUUCGGAAUUACUGGGCGUAAAGCGCGCGUAGGCGGCCCUGCAAGUCGGGGGUGAAAGCCCGAGGCUCAACCUCGGAACUGCCUUCGAUACUGCGGGUCUCGAGUCCGGGAGAGGUGAGUGGAAUUCCUGGUGUAGCGGUGAAAUGCGCAGAUAUCAGGAAGAACACCAAUGGCGAAAGCAGCUUUCUGGGACGGUACUGACGCUGAGACGCGAAAGCGUGGGGAGCGAACAGG
rnacentral:rRNA from 1 species